rnacentral:rRNA from 1 species
CCUACGGGAGGCAGCAGUGGGGAAUAUUGCACAAUGGGGGAAACCCUGAUGCAGCGACGCCGCGUGAGUGAAGAAGUAUUUCGGUAUGUAAAGCUCUAUCAGCAGGGAAGAAGAAAGACGGUACCUGACUAAGAAGCCCCGGCUAACUACGUGCCAGCAGCCGCGGUCAUACGUAGGGGGCAAGCGUUAUCCGGAUUUACUGGGUGUAAAGGGAGCGUAGACGGCUGUGCAAGUCUGAAGUGAAAGCCCAGGGCUCAACCCUGGGACUGCUUUGGAAACUGUGGAGCUAGAGUGCUGGAGAGGUAAGUGGAAUUCCUAGUGUAGCGGUGAAAUGCGUAGAUAUUAGGAGGAACACCAGUGGCGAAGGCGGCUUACUGGACAGUAACUGACGUUGAGGCUCGAAAGCGUGGGGAGCAAACAGGAUUAGAUACCCUUGUAGUC